CAGUCGAACGAGAUCUUCGGAUCUAGUGGCGCACGGGUGAGUAACGCGUGGGAACCUACCUUUUAGUACGGGACAACGUUUGGAAACGAACGCUAAUACCGUAUACGCCCUCCGGGGGAAAGGUCAGCCGCUGAAAGAGGGGCCCGCGUCUGAUUAGCUUGUUGGUAAGGUAACGGCUUACCAAGGCAACGAUCAGUAGCUGGUCUGAGAGGAUGAUCAGCCACACUGGGACUGAGACACGGCCCAGACUCCUACGGGAGGCAGCAGUGGGGAAUAUUGGACAAUGGAGGCAACUCUGAUCCAGCAAUGCCGCGUGUGUGAUGAAGGCCCUAGGGUUGUAAAGCACUUUCAACGGUGAAGAUGAUGACGGUAGCCGUAGAAGAAGCCCCGGCUAACUUCGUGCCAGCAGCCGCGGUAAU
rnacentral:rRNA from 1 species